UGGCCUAGGCGUGAAAUAUCCACCUGCAGAUUGUUACCAAUAGCCAUAAAAAGGGAGCUGGAGGGGAAGAUCUCGGCCUGUUGAUUUGCUAGGAGAAGCUUGCUGCAGACAGUUUUCCUGAUGCAAACUAGGCUGUUCUCGUUGAGGAGCUCAGGACCUUGAUGUCCUGGGAAUGGCUGCUAUUUUCAUCAGAGGAGCUCCAACCUUUACUAUAAGCAUCACUUCCUGACUCCAAUAUGGAUCCCUCAGCUUGGUGGCAGAAAUCCUUCAUCUCACCAGCAUAGAUUUCUUUGGCUUUCACCACUGGCCUUUGGGCCUUCCAGAUGUCCUCCUCCAGCCAAGACUGGACCAGGAAUCAAUCUACCAACCAGACUGAUUCUCCACAAAGCCUGAUUCAUUUGAAAUCUGAGGUAUGAAGGCGUCUGACUUACACCACUGCUACCAGCGCAUUCCCCUCGUCAGCCACCUGCCGGCAAUGUCGCAAGCAGCUUCGUUGACUUUCUCCCC
rnacentral:lncRNA from 1 species